rnacentral:lncRNA from 1 species
UUCGAUGGGGGAGGGGGAAUCACUUUUCCUCGAACAUUAGAGUUGAGUAUGCUGGUGGCCACUCUCGGAGAGUGAAGAUGACUUCAAUCCCAGCUUUUGCCCGAGCCAUUUCUAUUUUCCUGAAGAAAAUGAAGAUCCAAGCGGCGGCCAUCUUCCGAACCGUGUACUAUCGUCAUCCUAUGGUGGCUGGCAGUACUAUUUUUGGGUACUGUCUCAAGC